rnacentral:tRNA from 2 species
GGCCGUGGCGGCCUGGCUGGGCUGGCGCUGCUGGCGCCAGCGCAACCUCCACCCGCUGCUGGUGCUCGGCGCCUCGCUGCUGCUGC